rnacentral:rRNA from 1 species
UACGGAGGGUGCAAACGUUGCUCGGAAUCAUUGGGCGUAAAGCGCACGUAGGCGGCUCGUUAAGUCGGAUGUGAAAGCCCCGGGCUCAACUCGGGAAGUGCAUUCGAAACUGGCGAGCUUGAAUAUGGAAGAGGGUCGCGGAAUUCCCGGUGUAGAGGUGAAAUUCGUAGAUAUCGGGAGGAACACCAGUGGCGAAGGCGGCGACCUGGGCCAAUAUUGACGCUGAGGUGCGAAAGCGUGGGGAGCAAACAGGAUUAAGAAACCCCUGG